rnacentral:rRNA from 1 species
UACGGAGGGGGCGAGCGUUAUUCGGAAUUACUGGGCGUAAAGCGCACGUAGGCGGCUUUGUAAGUAAGAGGUGAAAGCCCAGAGCUCAACUCUGGAAUUGCCUUUUAGACUGCAUCGCUUGAAUCAUGGAGAGGCCAGUGGAAUUCCGAGUGUAGAGGUGAAAUUCGUAGAUAUUCGGAAGAACACCAGUGGCGAAGGCGGCUGACUGGACAUGUAUUGACGCUGAGGUGCGAAAGCGUGGGGAGCAAACAGG